AUUGAACGCUGGCGGUAUGCUUAACACAUGCAAGUCGAACGGUAACAGGCCUUCGGGCGCUGACGAGUGGCGGACGGUGAGUAACGCGUAGGAAUCUGCCCUCAUAGUGGGGACAACGUGGGGAAACUCACGCUAAUACCGCAUACGCCCUACGGGGGAAAGGCGGGGAGUCUUCGGACCUCGCGCUAUGAGAUGAGCCUGCGUUAGAUUAGCUAGUUGGUAGGGUAAAGGCCUACCAAGGCGACGAUCUAUAGCUGGUCUGAGAGGACGAUCAGCCACACUGGGACUGAGACACGGCCAGACUCCUACGGGAGGCAGCAGUGGGGAACAUUGGACAAUGGGCGCAAGCCUGAUCCAGCAAUACCGCGUGUGUGAAGAAGGCCUUAGGGUU
rnacentral:rRNA from 1 species